CCACAUAGGUUUCUGGCAUUUUGAUCUCUUAUAAGGGGUGGAAAAUCUACUGGCUAUUCCAACACUUUGCCAAAAUGACCUUUCAGGCAGGUACAUUUUUAUCAGGGCUCAAAUACAGGGCUUGAUGUUUUCUUCAGCAAACGUUUAUGCUCCUGACACUAAUCAAAUAUUCUUUCUAUUGAAGGUCAUUCACCAACUGUCAUCCUUUACAGAGGGAAUCCUAGUGUUCAAUGGGGAUUUGAACAUUCCCAUGAAUCCUGGUCUGGACUCCUCCACGGGCAAGUUCUCUCCUCUGCUAUCCCAAAUUUGUAAGUUAUGUGCUGCUCUACACAAGGCUCGCUUGGUAGAUGUCUGGUGCAUACACAAUUCCACGCCCCAUAGAUAUACUUUUCUUACCCUUAUAGGCAGUAUUCCCAUCUGGACUACCUGUUCCUACCUGUUGCUUUCACAUGCACAUCUCAAUAUGGCACCUAUACACAACAAAACCUAGGACAUCCACCAACUCAGUCAAUACCUGGAUGUGACUAACCCACAUUGUCCCUAUGCCUAACUUUUACACACUUGUGACACUUUUGCUCACUUUUUGAUGACCAGAGGUGACCUCACAACUUACCUCAACACAUUUCCAAUUACUUUUAAGAGAAUCAAAAAGAUGUUCCACUUCCAUGGUGGUUUGGGAAGUCCAUAAAUGUGUAGUAAGGGGUGCCAUCAUUUGCCUAUUCACCCACAUUAAAAGGUUACUCCAAGCAUAAUAACCUCUAAAGUCUAAUGUUUAAGUGAAACCUAAUUCAGUGGUUAUGAUGCCAGGAAUACCCUGACCCAGUUUCGUGUUAAUGGGGCAAACCAUUUUGCAACACUUUGCCCUCUCCCCUGGGUCCCAUCAGACGCUGAGGCUUCUCUAUGGUAAUGGUGAUGCUGCAGAUGCCAAUUCUACCAGCCAUUCCUUGGCUCAGUGUCAGCUGACCAUUUUUAGUGUGACCACAUCUACCAUGUUUUCAGGAACACAUAAUUUGUCAUAUUUGUAAAAAAAAAAAAAGCAUGAAAAGGAUUGCUGUGCAGUGUGUUAUGCGUAUUCUGCAGGAUUCUUUAUUUCCUAAUUACGUAAUCUUAUACACCUUCUUCUGAGUUCUACAAACUACACCUUUUCAUGUGCUAUCCAUAAAUUCGUAUAUGUGAUACGAGUCCUUGAAAACUUGAUGGAUCUGGUCACCCUAUCCACUCUCAACUAAUGAAUGCAAUUAUGUGCAAAUAAAUGAUGCUGCUGGAAGUGGGGUUACACCUAUGUCAGCAAAGGGGCUAAGCUCAGUAUAUGGAGUGUUUCAUAGCCAAAUGCUGUAUGUACAGAGUGCAGGCACCAUAACUACUUAGAAUCACUAAUGUGGUCCUGGUGCUUGUCCCUUUAACAAAAGACAAUCUCACCUAAUUAAGGUGAUAUCCAGAAUGAACUAAAAUUGUCAGACCUAAUAUUUUAGAAACUCGCAAAGCCAGAAAUAAACUUAGUAUCCUUUAAAUGCUAAAGUAAAGUCAAGUCUUUUGUCCAUUCCUUAUCCCAUCACUACCAAGAGGGCAAUAAAGUAGCACAAACUACACCCAUCUUAUCAAUGCACCUUCUCUCGGAAACCUUACAACAUCUCGGAAACCUUACAAACCUCAUAUCAUCACUAAAGCCUUGUUAUGGAUCCACAUGAAACUUCAUUUUAGAAUACAUUUCUUGCCUUGUAAAAGGUAGCAUUGUGGAAGACACUUUAGAUAACAUUAAGUGCCUAAUCUCCAUAGAUGAUCUCAAGGCAGCAUGUAAUUCCCUUCCAACUGGGAAGUGUGUAGGACCUGCCCCCCAGUAAGGGGUACUUCUACAAAAUAAUUUUUAAUUAUCUGAACACUUACUGUGUGAGGUCUUCAUUGCUGUUUGUGUAGAGAUAACACGUUUACCACAUUUUCUCUUACGUGUAGACAUACCGGUCCACUUAUUCUUAACAUCCAUGCUGCUUCUUUAAGUCAGUCGCAGCCUUUUUCGAAGUUACCGGGUGUGGCAUACCACGCGUUCCCCAACUUGUUGUGCUCCCCAUCAUGGCACGGAGGGUGUCUGGCCAACGGCACAAUCCUCUACAUCUCUGAUCAUAACACCACCGUGCCAUCUGACUAAGGUCAUUGGGGUUGAGCUCGCUGUCAUCUUCACCAAGAUUAAUUGAUCACCUGUGUUUUACCAUAAUUAUCCGAUACAGUAUCUGGAUCUGUGGAGAGGGCCACCCACCGAUAAGUACUUUUACUUUAUUCAUUUACAUGCACAAGUUCUUUUUUCAUGUGAUUUCUGCUGGGUUUUUUAUGAAUUUUAGAUCUUUUUUAUAGGAUCGUAUCUACAGGUUGUUUUUUCACCGGGGAUAUUUAACAGUAUUGUUGAUAUACGCCUUAUUUUCCGUUCUCUGGUCAGUUUUACAAACUGAGGUUUCUUAUUCUAUAACAACUUGGUAUUUAUAUAUUUAUACUACUCUGAUAAUUUAUUUCAUACCUUGCAACAUUCUGGGUUGUUGUUGUGUUGAUGACAUUACAGUCACGGAUGUUGCAGUAUGUAUCAGUUUUGUAUAGUGUUUUUAUUACUUUGGAGCAGCUUGUGUGUGUUUUUUAUUAGAUUUCUCAUUUUUUAUUACCAUUAAAUUAUACUUUAUAUAUUGAUUAUGUGGAUUUUCUGUUUCUAUUUUAAUUUAUAUUAGGAGCGCUUGCACCUUAUAUAUAUAUAUAUAUAUAUAUAUAUGUUCCACAUUUUCUCUUGGCCACAAUUGGCUCCCAGCUAUUAUUCAGGAAACCAUGCUUUCAAACUUUGAAAUGAACACUACCAAAUGUUCUGAAUCUAAAUGCCCCAUAGACUGUUUCUCUGCCCUGGCAACACAUGCAGCCUUUCUGGUGUCCACCUUUCAUAUUCUGUACUUAUGAGUGGAGCGUACUGUAUUUUACCACCUUUGGAUCCUUGCAGGCAAGAACUUGGGAAGAAAUUCGCUAUGUUAGUUUGUCCAUAAAAAGAUAAACAUUAACAUUACCCAUUGUUUAUUGUAUUUAUUUUAGGCAGCACCAAUUCAUUCUUUGCUGAACUUCAUCAGAAAAUUCCAUCUACUCAGUGUCCCUAAAACCGAUGGUGAAUGGGGUCUCUCUGAUUCAGAAUUGUGAUACUAUGCAACCUUACUGAUGAGAAUGAUGGUCUGUACAAGGCAGUCUAAUGAUAAAUGUGAGAUAGCAGUAGCGCAUCAAGCACAUGCUUGCCCAAUACAGUUCCUUCCCUAGCUUUAAAGGAUUUCCUCAGUCAUCAUAACCACUACAGCCCAAUGUUGUAUCCAGCCACACAUUUUGUGUCCACCCACAAAUGUCCCAUUGUCUUCCCAAUUUUGACAGUUUGGGAGAGAUAUAUAAACAGACGGCAGUUUACUUCCUUUUCCUUUCCUUUCACACAUCUCACAGUCCCAACUUUUCCACCAUAACUACUAACUUUUGCACUAGACCACUUAGGACUCACCUCAUACAUGACAGCCUCCCCAAACUGUAAGAACGUGCCUCCGACUCUACCAGGUUGUGGUCUUACACUCUGCAUUAUCAGCUAUUAAAACACUGCAAACCUUCAUUUCCUCUGACACUCUCCUACAUGAUCUAAAGGCAAACCUUCAUUUCCUCUGACACUCUCUUACAUGAUCUAAAAGUCUGUGUACUCAUGAACAGUACUCUACCCACCUACACUCUUAAUCUUUACUCUUUCAGAGCCAACACUGCCCCCUCUAUAGAGUGAUGGGAGAGGAAGUAGGAUAUCACAUUGACCAAAAAAAUGGCAAUAUGUUUUUCUGAAAGUUAUUGGUAACUUUAGAUUUGAAGAAAUGUCUGGCAAAUUGCUUCAGGAUCCCAGCCCACUUACACUCUUGGCAAGGGUACAAGAGUUCACAGGGACCCUAAACUUUAGUCCUACUAGAUCUGUAUCCAAAAAGCAAUCACCAGAGUUCACAAUUAUUCUUUACAAUUAAUAUCUCCUCUAGUCCACCUGUUCCACAAUUCACCAUAUCUGCUAUAAUUCAAAAAUUGCUGUUUGAUCCUUUUGCACUGGAAAGAUUCUUAUCUUUCUAGCUUUCGAAAAUUGAUACUGCGCGCGGGGGAGAUCCGGACCAUGGAGUUCAUGGUUGAGAGGUACACACAUACAGAUAACAUGUAUGUAGCUCCUUUGGGACCAGUUCCUGGAAUCUGAUAUUUCUUUGGCUCUUAGAUGUAUAUGAAUUGCAUUUUUGUUUUAUGUUUAUUGUAUCAGUUCCUGAUACUGUCCAUUCUGGUAGACUGCACAUCAAGAUUAUUAUGCUUUUUUACAGUACUACAAGGCCAUUGCCUACCUUCAUCACCAUUGCCACAUUUUCCUUUGAUUUAUUCUUCAUUUAAUCUCCCCUUCCAUCUGUUCCUUUCUUUACUCAGGUGUAUUAAUUAAAUGGAUAAUGAUGUGAACAUUAAGUUGCCUCUACUGGAUUAAUAUUUAUUUAUUUUUUGUUAAUCAUAGGAGUCAACAUAUGCUGUGGCUGUGUUCAUUCCACUGCAUAUGUUAUAUGAAACUCUGAACAUAUUGAGUGUUUUAAUAAUGUGAUAUAAUUAAAACUUAAAUACAUUUGAUUUCAUUAAAAAAAUAUAUCAAAAAGCUGUGAAACAUUAUUAAAAUUGUUAGGAAGCUACUUAAAACUCUAUAUAGUAGAUAUUAACAUUGAGAUUGUAGCUGGCUCAGUGUACAGAGAUCCAGAGACAUCUGGAAUUGUUAUAGUAUACUUUUUUUAAAUAAGUGUCUAUAUUCACAGGAUUAUUUUGUUGAGCAGAGAAGGAUUACAUUAAACAUACAACAGUUUUUUGUCCCCUUCUUUAUUCUUCUCAUAGUGAUGGUGAAUUGGGCCAGCUAAACACGUGGUUCUUGAGCCGUAGGCAGAUGCCUAAAAUCAACUUAUGGUUAAGUCUGCUCUGCAGUUGAUGGAGCAUGAGUGUUUUUCCAAUUUAAUUGUGUGCUUGUGGUGCCUAUUUUGUUUUUCGUUUUGUUUUGCGCAGAAAAAAAAGAUGGAUAAAUUUAUGUAUAACUGUUGAAAUUCUCUACUCUGAAGCAAUAGCUUUAGAGUGAGGAAUUUCAACAUUUAUACAUAAAUUAUUAAUAUACUUUGGAUUUUAUAUUUGUCACAAUUAUGCUGAGAUACUUUGCUCUUCCUGUAAUGUUUUCACUCUUCUAUUUAGAACUAUCUAUUAUUUCUGGGUUAUGCCUUGUAAGUUAUUGAGAAAAAAAAUCAAAUUUUUGUUCAUAUUUAUCUUCUUUCCUGUCUAAUUUAGCAACAAGCCAGUUAUUCUUUGUUGCUAAUACAAUAAUGCUUUUAUAUAUAUAUAUAUAUAUAUAUAUAUAUAUAUAUAUAUAUAUAUAUAUAUAUAUAUAUAUACACACACAUAUAAAUAUACAUAUCUAAUUAUUUUAUUUUGCAAUUCCAGCUAAAUUAUCUUGGUCCCCCUUUCAAUGACCCAGAUUUCAACCCACCACGUUCAGGAGGUCCAGAAACAAUCCCCAGUGCCUCUGUAGACUUUCAUCUUUGGCGGAAUCUAAAUGAUGGUUUACGCUUGGCAGAGAAUCAUCGGGCAUACAGCUUGCUCCUCUGCUAUCUAAGGUCUAUUGAUGGGGAAGUGGCACGUACAGAAUUGAGACGGAGUCUUGGACGUUUUUGCACAAGUUUACAGGGCCUGGUUGUUAGCAUAGCAGGAGUGAUGUCUUCCCUGGGUUACCAGCCCCCACAAGACCUGACCACUUCCUCAACUCCACCAGCCGUGGGCUAUGGCAAGGGUAAUGAUUUCCUGAGAAAGAUGGAAGACUUUUGGCUUUUAAAGGAACUGCAAAUCUGGUUAUGGAGGUCAGCCAAGGACUUCAACAGGCUUAAGCGAAAGGUUCCAGCUAUUGUUGCCUUUAGAGUAGAAUCCCAUGGGUUUUGAAAUGGAAAGGAGAAGCAACAACCAUUAUUGUUCCUAAGCUUACAUGAACCCAAGUCACAUGGAAAAACACAUGCAACACAAGACAGAAUGAUUGAAAAGAUAAAUAUAGAAUGAAUGCUCAAGGAAAAAGAAAAACAAUGACUGAUUAAAUGAUGGCCAUAUACAUUGUUAACAUUAAUGAGCAUUCAAAAGAAAGAAAAUGGGAGAAAUAUUUUAAGGGAAUUGGUUACUUAGAUAACUAUGCAAAAUUAGUCAGAAGGCAGUGUGAUUAUAUAUGGGAUGUCUGUGGUUUUUUUUCUCACAGUAACAAGAGAGACAAGACUCACAUGUACUGGAAACUAGGCUUACGUCACAUAACAGAUGUGUGCAUUGUAUAAUAUAUUUUUUGUUUCUCUUUAAUACACAUCAGUUCAAUGACAGUUCUAGACUUAAACUUUGGGAGUAAAAAAAAGGUAGGCCUUUUACAAAUUAUUAAAGUCAGGAGACCUGAAGUAGGUGUUUAAAGAAAUACACUUGCAUCUAUAAACUUCAAUAUGUAUAUUUUUAGACACUGCAUUACUUACCUAGCUUGGCUGCAGGAAGGUGGAUUCUGUGGUGUGUCAGGGGAGUGGGCUGUAACAGCUUGAUGCGUUUACUCACUCUCCUUACAGCAUCAUGAUUACAAUACUGCUUCUGAUGCUACAGGUAAUCUGGUCAGUUGGUAUUUCUAAAUUUCUAACUGGACCACAUAGCACUUACUUCACAAAAGAGUUGCCUCUGGGCGCACAUUGGAAAACCACUGCUGUCAGCCCUGUGGCAGUAGACUUCAAGGUAAACAAAUGAAAUGGUAUUGACGAUAUCAGUGGUGUCUCCUAUUUCCCCCCUCCUGUUUAGAACUGUUAAUACCCAAGAAACCUUCCAAGAGGUAAAGGAGAACCCAAUACCAGAUAUCAGGUAGGGUAGAAGGUGCAUAUAAAGGCAAAGGUUCACACAGACCUACCUGUGUGAUUGUGGUUAACACUUCUUCCUAAGAAUGCAAUGGUAUAUUAUUUUAUGAAAACUACUGAGAAGCCAUAAUUGCUGCCUUUCAUAGAAAAGACUCUUUGACUACAUCCCUACACAAACCUUGUGAGAAUACUAUUUCCUCUUCAUCUGCACCCUUACACUAUAUGAAUAAAUUAUACAGGCCCACACCAUUAAUUUCCUGUAAUAUUUUAAACCCAGAAGAUUUUGAAUUACAUAGUUAAAGGGACAUUUUAGUCACCAGACCAACAAUAGUAGUUAUUCUGGUGUCUGCAGCCUGUCCCUGCAGGCUUUUUAAUGUAAAGGUUUACAUUACUGCAUAGUAACACCUCUAGUGGCAGUCACUCAGACAGCUACUAGAGGUGCUUCCUAUCUCAGUGCUGCAUGGUGUGCAUCACCUACAUUUAGCAACUCCACACUUUGCGCGGAGAUACUGAGUCCCCAUAGUGAUGCAUUGAAUCAAUGCACUUCUGUGAGGAGAUACUAAUUGGUGCAGUGCAGCAUGUUGCUAUGCAUGAGCAAUAGCCUCCCGAUGCUUUUCUAUAAGAAAGCAUUGGAUAGGCUGAGAUUGUUAAGUUUAAUGAUCUCAGCCAUGGAGGUAGAUUUGGGGACAGCCGCAGCGAGAUAGGAAGAAAUAUUAGUAAAAUCACCUUUUUAAUAGGGGGGGCAAGCUACCUAAAUAGCUAUUUUACCACUAGUGUCAGGAAUACGUGGUUGUGUCCCUGACACUAUAGGAUUCCUUUAGGUACUGGUGGCUUAGACUCAAGAUUAUCAAGGGUUUCACCCUCGGAAUGCAUUUGAUACCGCAUUUGCUGAGAGCAAUAUUUUUAAAAUGUCUCAGAAAAGACUACAUAGAUUCUUCAUCACAACUUAAAAUGGUUUAAAUGGUGUUGCCACUUUCAGAUAAUUGUUUACAGAUGUGACUUGUUAAAAACUAAUGCAUUGUAGUUCUACAUCUUAAAAUAUGAGCAGUUAAAAAGGUGGACCUGUUGCAAAAUUAUUAAAGGCAACACAUCUGAGGUACAUACUCUAAGUCACACGCACACAAACAUGCACAUAUAUGUCUCCCAGACAUACACAAACAUAAAAAAACCCUAUUACUUUACUGAGAGGGUAGUGGAUGCAUGGAAUAGUCUUCCAGCUGAAGUGGUAGAGGUUAACACAGUAAAAGAGUUUAAGCAUGCUUAGGAUAUGCAUAAGGCUAUCCUAACUAUAAGAUAAGGUCAGGGACUAAUGAAAGUAUUUUUAAAAAAACAAAAUUGGGCAGACUAGAUGGGCCAAAUGGUUCUUAUCUGCCGUCACAUUCUAUUUUUCUAAUGAUCUUGAAAAAAGCAUUGAAAGUCAAGUUUCGGUGUUUGCAGAUGACACAAAACUCUGUAAAGUAAUACAAUGUGAGCAAUAUAUUACUUUGCUGUAGAGAGAUUUAGAUAGACUGGAGGACAGGGCACUCAAAUGGCAGAUGAAACUUAAUGUAGAAAAAUGCAAAGUUAUGCACUUUUUCAUAAAGAAUGCACAAGCAACUUAUACCCUUAAUGGAAGUGAAUUGGGGAUAACACACGAGAAGGACUUUGGAAUUGUUAUAGACAAC
rnacentral:lncRNA from 1 species